rnacentral:pre_miRNA from 1 species
AUCACCUGGGGAUCUUGUUAAGAUACAGACUGCAGUUCAGUAGGUCUGGGGUGAGGCCUGAGAUUCUGCAUUUCUAACUAGCUCCCAGGGGACACCA